UACGUAGGGUGCAAGCGUUGUCCGGAAUUAUUGGGCGUAAAGGGUGCGUAGGCGGCGCGGUAAGUCGGGUGUGAAAUCUCGGGGCUUAACUCCGAAACUGCAUUCGAUACUGCCGUGCUUGAGGACUGGAAAGGAGACUGGAAUUUACGGUGUAGCGGUGAAAUGCGUAGAUAUCGUAAGGAAGACCAGUGGCGAAGGCGGGUCUCUGGACAGUUCCUGACGUGAGGCACGAAGGUCAGGGGAGCAAACGGG
rnacentral:rRNA from 1 species